rnacentral:lncRNA from 1 species
UAAAAAUUUAAAAUUUAAAAUCUCUCAUUUAUAAAUAUUUUAACUUUUAUAUAAAAAUUAUUGGUAGAAGCGUACACACUUAUUUAAACUGCAAAUCAUUUUGAAUUGACUAUCCAAUUUUUCAAAAUUUUAAUUUUACUAUUCAAUCUUUUUAGUUUCAAAUUUUAAAUGCGUCGUUUGUUUUUACAGAUUUAGUUAACAUACUUUUAUAUAUAUAUAUAUAUAUAUAUAUAGAGUUUUGCUAGAAUACUAUCGGUAGUAAACGGCUCGGUUUACUACCGAUUUGUUUUCAAUGAUAGAGCUUCCAAAUUGAUGAUUGGCACCGUUAAACAUAAUCUAAACUAUUUAAACUAUGUGGAAAUCAAAUUUUACACAUUUUCGAUAUUGUUCUCUUGUUCAUCAAGUGAACAGAAAAAUGAAUGGCUGGAAAUGAAUAUCCUUUAAAAAGUAAUGAUACAAUUUUUAUAUUUGAGAUCUAGAGUCUAGAUUUUAUUUUAAAUAGUUUAAAGAAUUUUUUAACAAAAAUUUAGUUGAUUUGAACUCUUCUACACCGUUAAAGAGCAAACGCACUAUAUUGGCCAUUAAAAUUAUAGAUUUUGUGACCUUUUGAUCGUUCAGUUAGUGAUGCCAAAAAAUCAUGAAAUUUGAUUUCUAGCUAAUUUAAAUGGUCUAGAUCAUGUGAGGGAUUAGGAUGCACACCAUUUGUAAAUUAACAAUAAUAAAUAAAUAAAUAAAUAGCUAAAUAAAUAAAUAAUAUAUGUAUUAUAGGUAAAUAAAAAAUACUUAUAAAUAAACUCAUACUAAUAAAAUUUUUGCAAAAAAUUAAUUUUUUUAAAUUUAUUUUAUUUAAAAUAUAAAUAUAGUUUUUUUUCUAAAUUUUUAUAGAAUUGGAUGUUUAUGUUAAUUUAAUAAGUUUUAAUUAAUUAUAAUUAUUAAAUUUGAUAAAAAAAAAAUGAGAGAAACCGUUUAAAAAUUUUUUAAGUUUGAUUUACAUAUUAAAUUAAAUAAAUUAAAAAUUUUAAAUGUGUCGAUUAAUAAGUUGAAAAAUUAUUGAAAAAUAUAAAAAUAUUAUAUAUAUUACUUAUUUAUUUAUAAAUAGUAAUUUAAAUAUUAAUAAAUUUAUACAAUUAUUUUAUGUUUUUAGUUGAAGGUAACCUCACCACUCUAUCUGAACAGGUGACAAAAUUCAUAAAUACAACUAUCAGCUUCAUAUUACCAAACAGAAGAAAUGUAACUGCAGCAGUUGCAACUGCGUAAAACCAAACAGACAUAGGUGUUCUGAGUUACAACUGCAGCAUUCUGCAACUGCAUAUAUUUUCCAAUACACGUCUGCAACUACAUCCAACCAAACGGCCCCUAAGAGUUUAUUUAAUCCUAGGGAGACCGCAAUUCAUCCCAACCAUACAAUUUUUAAUCAAAAGUCAAAAUUCAAAAACAUCAAAUCUCUAUAUUUUUCGAUAGCAUAGUAUAUUAUAUAUAGAGUCCGGCUACUAUACUAUUGAUAGUACCAAGCCUUUGUACUAUAGCAUGUUUUCUACCGUUAGAUUUACCUGUGAUUAUUUCCACCCGUUAGAUUAUAUAUUAAACCAACCACCACUCAACCCUAGGAGACCACUAUCAUCCUAACCGCACAUCCUUUCAUCAACAGCCAAAAACUCAAUAGUCCAAGGGCUUGGUAUAUUAAUAGUAUAGGAGCAUAAUUAUAUAUAUAUAUAUAUAUUAUAUAAUAAUAAUAUUAUAUAUAUAUAUAUAUAUAUUAUAUAUAUAUAUAUAUAUAUAUAUAUAUUUAUUAAAAUAUAUAAAUAUAAUAUAUUUUAAUUAUAUAUAGGCUGAGUGAAUAAUCUCGAGUUUAGUUAAAAUUGAGUCAAUAUUGUUUGGCCCAUAAAAACAAACCAAUAGACAAAUAAAAGAGCAAAAUUUACUAAAUUUAUAUAUUUUUCCUUUCUUUCUUCUUUCACAGAGGCUCUCAAUUUUCAAUAUGUUCUCUCUUUCUCUUUUUUUCUGUCUCUCACCCUAAGUGGCCAAGCGAAGCCCCUCUAAGUUACCAAGUAACAUCAUAUGCCCACCGUGCCUAUCUUAUUUAUUAAUUGUAUGCUUGAGAAAAUAUACAGAAUAUUUUUAAAGUAAAAAAUUUAUAUUCAUAUAAAAUUUUAACUUUAGUUAUAUAGAUUGGAUAGUUUAAUCCAAUAUUAUCUAUAUAAUUUAUUUAUUUUUUACUGCAUAAAUGAAAAUGAAUAAUAUAGAAAUGAAGGUAAAGAGAAAAGACAUGUAAGACUGAAAAAAAUUAGAUAUUCAACUCAUAAAUUAUUUUUUUCAUAUUUAAUACUAUAUUUCAUAUAAUUAUUUUGCACUUUGAAUUAUUAGAAUAUUUUUGUAUCAAAUUAUAGAUAAUAUUUUAUAUAAAUUAAACUAUUGAUCGUAUAAUGUCGAGAAUUUCAAGCGGGCUCGUUUAAGCUCGAGCUCACUCGACUGAAAUUAGGCUCGCUCGGCUCGGCUCGAAUUAAUUUCAAUCCAAGCUUGAGCUUAAAUUUAGACUCGAAAAUUAAUUUCAAGCCGAAUUUGAGCGAGGUAAGCUCGCUCGAGCUCGGCUCGUUUCCACCCCUAAGUACAGUGGAGCAUAUACUUAUAAAAUUUUAUUUUUACUUUUUUUUUUCAAAAAUUUAUAAUUUAAUAUAAUAGAAUAUUAUAUUUAAUGCUAUUUUUUUUUACAAAAGUUGUAGGCAAAAUUAUUCAUUAUUUUUUUGUUUUAAGAAGUGCUUUGAAGAUAGUCAAAUCUGCUUGCAUAGACAUAAUUCAUAUAGUAUUUAAAGAGAUAAGAAUAAAAAUUUUAAAAUUUAAAAUCUCUCAUUUAUAAAUAUUUUAACUUUUUAUAUAAAAAUAUUGGUAGAAGCGUACACACUUAUUUAAACUGCAAAUCAUUUGAAUUGACUAUCCAAUUUUUCAAAAUUUUAAUUUUACUAUUCAAUCUUUUAGUUUCAAAUUUUAAAUGCGUCGUUGUUUUUUUACAGAUUUAGUUAACAUACUUUUAUAUAUAUAUAUAUAUAUAUAUAUAGAGUUUUGCUAGAAUACUAUCGGUAGUAAACGGCUCGGUUUACUACCGAUUUGUUUUCAAUGAUAGAGCUUCCAAAUUGAUGAUUGCACCGUUAAACAUAAUCUAAACUAUUUAAACUAUGUGGAAAUCAAAUUUUACACUAUUUCGAUAUUGUUCUCUUGUUCAUCAAGUGAACAGAAAAUAAAUGGCUGGAAAUGAAUAUCCUUUAAAAAGUAAUGAUACAAUUUUUAUAUUUGAGAUCUAGAGUCUAGAUUUUAUUUUAAAUAGUUUAAAGAAUUUUUUAACAAAAUUUAGUUUAUUUGAACUCUUCUACACCGUUAAAGAGCAAACGCACUAUAUUGGCCAUUAAAAUUAUAGAUUUUGUACCUUUUGAUCUUCAGUUAGUGAUGCCAAAAAAUCAUGAAAUUUGAUUUCUAGCUAAUUUAAAUGGUCUAGAUCAUGUUCAACGGUGCCGAUCGUCGAUUUGGAAGCUCUAUCAUCAAAAAUAAAUCGGUAGUAAACAGAGCAGUUUACUACGAUAGUAGCCCAGUCAAACUCCCUCCCCCUCUCUCUCUCUCUCUCUCUCUCUCUCUCUCUCUCUCUCUCUAUCUAUA